rnacentral:rRNA from 1 species
GUGGGGAAUCUUAGACAAUGGGCGCAAGCCUGAUCUAGCCAUGCCGCGUGAGCGAUGAAGGCCUUAGGGUUGUAAAGCUCUUUCAGCUGGGAAGAUAAUGACGGUACCAGCAGAAGAAGCCCCGGCUAACUCCGUGCCAGCAGCCGCGGUAAUACGGAGGGGGCUAGCGUUGUUCGGAAUUACUGGGCGUAAAGCGCACGUAGGCGGAUCAGAAAGUCAGAGGUGAAAUCCCAGGGCUCAACCUUGGAACUGCCUUUGAAACUCCUGAUCUUGAGGUCGAGAGAGGUGAGUGGAAUUCCGGGGGUAGAGGUGAAAUUCGUAGAUAUUCGGAGGAACACCAGUGGCGAAGGCGGCUCACUGGCUCGAUACUGACGCUGAGGUGCGAAAGCGUGGGGAGCAAACAGGAUUAGAAACCCCGGUAGUCC